rnacentral:rRNA from 1 species
GAUGAACGCUAGCUACAGGCUUAACACAUGCAAGUCGAGGGGCAGCAUUAGGUAGCAAUACUGAGAUGGCGACCGGCGCACGGGUGCGUAACGCGUAUCCAACCUUCCCGUUACUCAUGGAUAGCCUUCCGAAAGGGAGAUUAAUACAUGAUGGUGUUGAAAUUCCGCAUGUUAUUUCAACUAAAGAUUUAUCGGUAACGGAUGGGGAUGCGUGACAUUAGAUAGAUGGCGGGGUAACGGCCCACCAUGUCUACGAUGUCUAGGGGUUCUGAGAGGAAGGUCCCCCACACUGGAACUGAGACACGGUCCAGACUCCUACGGGAGGCAGCAGUGAGGAAUAUUGGUCAAUGGCCGGAAGGCUGAACCAGCCAAGUAGCGUGAAGGAUGAAGGUUCUAUGGAUUGUAAACUUCUUUUAUACGGGAAUAAAACCUCCCACGUGUGGGAGCUUGUAUGUACCGUAUGAAUAAGCAUCGGCUAACUCCGUGCCAGCAGCCGCCGUAAGAC